UACAGAGGUGGCAAGCGUUGUUCGGAAUUACUGGGCGUAAAGGGCGCGUAGGCGGUUCGUUAAGUCCUGUGUGAAAUCCCCCGGCUCAACUGGGGAACUGCACAGGAAACUAGCGGGCUUGAGUUCGGGAGAGGGAAGCGGAAUUCCGGGUGUAGCGGUGAAAUGCGUAGAUAUCUGGAGGAACACCGGUGGCGAAGGCGGCAUCCUGGACCGGAAUUGACUGCUGAGGCGCGAAAGCUAGGGGAGCAAACGGG
rnacentral:rRNA from 1 species